rnacentral:rRNA from 1 species
AGCGAACGCUGGCGGCAGGCUUAACACAUGCAAGUCGAGCGGGCGUAGCAAUACGUCAGCGGCAGACGGGUGAGUAACGCGUGGGAACAUACCUUUUGGUUCGGAACAACACAGGGAAACUUGUGCUAAUACCGGAUAAGCCCUUACGGGGAAAGAUUUAUCGCCGAAAGAUUGGCCCGCGUCUGAUUAGCUAGUUGGUGAGGUAACGGCUCACCAAGGCGACGAUCAGUAGCGGUCUGAGAGGAUGAUCAGCCACAUUGGGACUGAGACACGGCCCAAACUCCUACGGGAGGCAGCAGUGGGGAAUAUUGGACAAUGGGCGCAAGCCUGAUCCAGCCAUGCCGCGUGAGUGAUGAAGGCCCUAGGGU